GAGAGAGAGACAGAGAGAGAAAGGCAGAGAAGAGAGAGCCAGAGACAGAGAUCAUGAAGCGACAGUCUUUCCAGUGAAGGAAGAAGAUAACGACCCACAGCAGGAGGAGGAGAUGAUGAACCAGCCUAUAUUAAUACAACAGGCAGACAGCACUAAAACACAGCAGGAGUCCUUUGUGAGUGGAGAUAUCAACAGUGUUGCUCUUGCACAACCGCUGCCCUUUCCACUGGCACCAAGAGACGACAACAGCUACUACUAACUGGGGGAAAAGAAGAGAGUAAGAGUGGAGCGAGAGACAGUGGAAAGCAAACCAAUGACAGCUGGAGAAGCUCACUUUGAGCCUGAUUUGUUUCCUUUGUGAAACCCAGAACAGACUGUACGGAGGACAGCAGUGCAGUUGAUGGGGUUUUGGUCAUCUCUUGGCCUCGAUGCUAAUCGCUACUUGAGGACUUAUCUCUGCUAACCCUAAUCCUGAAAAGACCACUGGGUUGAGGAGGCGAGGACACCACCUCUGUCUCACUGCAGGCUCCAACUCUUCCAGCAACACACACACAGGGAACUCGCUCUCCACACUCACUCAGUGGUCACAUCACACAACCUGCACCCAGAUACUACAGAGUUGUACCCACCCUCAGUGUGAGUGACAUUAUGGAUGCCAGGGAGGAGAUGCUGACCCUGCUACAGAAGCUCUGGACCAAACUGCAGGGUCUCCCCACCGCCAGCCCUCUGGAGAUAGGGGCCUUCGCUGUCCUCAUCCUCUUUAUCGUGGUCUUCCUGCUCCUGCUGCUGAUGACCUGUUUGACGUGCUGCUGCUGUCGCAGGACCAGAACCAAGGGGCCACAUAGUCAGCUGACCUGAGACAAUCCCCACUUCCCCCAAUAAUGAGGAGAGACAUUAUAAACAGGCACUCUAUGGCCCUCUAAACCCCAGAAGAAUGAGGACCCAUACAGACUGGUGUGAACUGAAAACCCUGUCACCACUGUAUCACCAGGAAAGACAUUCUGGAAAGGCACUCUAUGGGCCUCUUAACCCCGGAGGAAUGAGGAGGACCCGUGGGGAGGGUGUGGAGCCCGUUUAUAAAGGAGCCCAGCUUCUAGGAUGUAUGGGUGUCAACUCAACUUCUGCCACUGGCUCAAAGAUUAUAAGAAAGAGCCCUCUGCAGUUUUCAUCAACAACAAUGGAGACAUCUUGCCAAACCCCUUGUGAGAGUGUUGCCAUAUGUAUUUUAUCUAAAGGACUUCCUUUGCUUUAUUGCUGUGUUCAUGUGCUAGACGGAACUAGGAAACUCAGAAAUGUCCGACAUGCUAACUGGUUGAACGCGGCACGUGAACAAGCCAUCAUCUCCUUCUCAGGGGAUUCAGAGGACCAUGCCUGCCCUCUGCUGUACAAACAUGGAACUGAGGCAGUGAGCCUUGUAAUAUGCUUCACAGUUAUACACAACAGAAAAAGAGUAAUGUUGUAUUUUACGUAUAGUUGUUGCAUAGGUUAAAAAGGGUAUCUCUUCCUUCUUAAAAAAGCAUUUUCUUAGCCUGCCUAAAAUAGUGCCAUACGCUUUUGUAUCUCUCUUGCAUGAAAUAAAACAAAAAUGCA